rnacentral:rRNA from 1 species
UACGGGGGGAGCAAGCGUUGUUCGGAUUUACUGGGCGUAAAGGGCGCGUAGGCGGCCAGUGCAAGUCAGUUGUGAAAUCUCCGGGCUUAACUCGGAAAGGUCAGCCGAUACUGCAGGGCUAGAGUGCAGAAGGGGCAACUGGAAUUCUCGGUGUAGCGGUGAAAUGCGUAGAUAUCGAGAGGAACACCUGCGGCGAAGGCGGGUUGCUGGGCUGACACUGACGCUGAAGUGCGAAAGCUAGGGGAGCGAACGGG